GAUGAACGCUGGCGGCGUGCCUAAUACAUGCAAGUCGAACGGACAUUCAGCAAUGGAUGUUAGUGGCGAACGGGUGAGUAACGCGUUGGUGACCUGCCCCGAAGCGGGGGACAACAGCUCGAAAGGGCUGCUAAUACCCCAUAAUGUCUCUCUAGUUAGAGAAGGGAGAAGGAAGGCCUGAAAGGGUCGCUUUGGGAGGGACCUGCGUCCCAUCAGCUAGUUGGUGAGGUAACGGCCCACCAAGGCGAUGACGGGUAGGGGACCUGAGAGGGUGACCCCCCACAAUGGAACUGAAACACGGUCCAUACACCUACGGGUGGCAGCAGUAGGGAAUAUUGCAUAAUGGGCGAAAGCCUGAUGCAGCAACGCCGCGUGCGCGAUGAAGGUCUUCGGAUCGUAAAGCGCUUUUCAGAGGGAUGAGGAAGGACAGUACCUCUGGAAUAAGUCUCGGCUAACUACGUGCCAGCAGCCGCGGUAAGAGUCACGUCG
rnacentral:rRNA from 1 species